CCUACGUGAGGCAGCAGUAGGGAAUCUUCCACAAUGGGCGAAAGCCUGAUGGAGCAACGCCGCGUGGGUGAAGAAGGUCUUCGGAUCGUAAAACCCUGUUGUUAGAGAAGAAAGUGACGGUACCUUAGGAAUAAGCCUCGGCUAACUACGUGCCAGCAGCCGCGGUAAUACGUAGGAGGCAAGCGUUAUCCGGAAUGACUGGGCGUAAAGGGUGCGUAGGUGGUUUGACAAGUUGGUAGCGUAACUCCGGGGCUCAACCUCGGCACUACUACCAAAACUGUGGGACGUGAGUGCAGGAGGGGCAAAUGGAAUUCCUAGUGUAGCGGUGGAAUGCGUAGAUAUUAGGAGGAACACCAGUGGCGAAGGCGAUUUGCUGGACUGUAACUGACACUGAGGCACGAAAGCGUGGGGAGCAAACAGGAUUAGAUACCCUGGUAGUC
rnacentral:rRNA from 1 species